AGUGAACGCUGGCGGUAGGCCUAACACAUGCAAGUCGAACGGCAGCACAGUAAGAGCUUGCUCUUACGGGUGGCGAGUGGCGGACGGGUGAGGAAUACAUCGGAAUCUACUUUUUCGUGGGGGAUAACGUAGGGAAACUUACGCUAAUACCGCAUACGACCUACGGGUGAAAGCAGGGGAUCUUCGGACCUUGCGCGAUUGAAUGAGCCGAUGUCGGAUUAGCUAGUUGGCGGGGUAAAGGCCCACCAAGGCGACGAUCCGUAGCUGGUCUGAGAGGAUGAUCAGCCACACUGGAACUGAGACACGGUCCAGACUCCUACGGGAGGCAGCAGUGGGGAAUAUUGGACAAUGGGCCCAAACCUGAUCCAGCCAUACCGCGUGGGUGAAGAAGGCCUUCGGGUUGUAAAGCCCUUUUGUUGGGAAAGAAAAGCAGCAGGUUAAUACCCCGCUGUUCUGACGGUACCCAAAGAAUAAGCACCGGCUAACUUCGUG
rnacentral:rRNA from 1 species